GAUUGGUGACUAGUACUCCUUCUGAGUCCAACUUUAAUUGUCCGUCUUGUUUGAUUUUUUUUAUGAUUAGCAUUUAUGUUAUUAGAUGAUAAUUGAUAAAACAUGAAUAAUAUUUUAUACAUGUCUUAUAUUUUUUUAUUUUUUUUUAAAAAAAUAAAUAAUACGGAUGAUCAAAGAUAGGCAUAGAAAUUUAUAACCCCGCUUACA
rnacentral:pre_miRNA from 1 species